GACGAAGGACUGUGGAUAUUAUAAUGUCCUCAUCAGAGAGGACUGUGUCUGUGAUGAAGGACUGUGGAUAUUAUAAUGUCCUCAUCAGAGAGGACUGUGUCUGUGAUGAAGGACUGUGGAUAUUAUAAUGUCCUCAUCAGAGAGGACUGUGUCUGUGAUGAAGGACUGGAUAUUAUAAUGUCCUCAUCAGAGAGGACUGUGUCUGUGAUGAAGGACUGUGGAUAUUAUAAUGUCCUCAUCAGAGAGGACUGUGUCUGUGAUGGACUGGAUAUUAUAAUGUCCUCAUCAGAGAGGACUGUGUCUGUGUUGAAGGACUGUGGAUAUUAUAAUGUCCUCAUCAGAGAGGACUAUGUCUGUGUUGAAGGACUGGAUAUUAUAAUGUCCUCAUCAGAGAGGACUGUGUCUGUGUUGAAGGACUGUGGAUAUUAUAAUGUCCUCAUCAGAGAGGACUAUGUCUGUGAUGAAGGACUGUGGAUAUUAUAAUGUCCUCAUCAGAGAGGACUGUGUCUGUGUUGAAAGACUGAUCUAGGGUCAGGCUGGGUAGGUAGGGGCUGGUAGGUCGAUGAGGUGCUUACUACAUGGGCAUGACUGCAUAUACUUGAAUAGAAGGUGUUCUUCAGAGCCUGGGGUUGUCUCAGUAAUACUGACUAGAAGGUGUUCCUCAGAACCUGGGGUUGUCUCAGUAAUACUGAAUAGUUCUUCAGAACCUGGGGUUGUCUCAGUAAUACUGAAUAGCUCUUCAGAGCCCGGCUGGUCUCAGUAAUUCUGAAUAGUUCUUCAGAGCCCGGGUGGUCUCAGUAAUACUCCGGGUUGUAGUGAAAGGCAGUUAGUGUUAUAACACGUGAUUAUAAAGCACUCUGAUUAAUCAGGACUUAAGGUUGACUCAUGUAGCUUUUUGAAUUGCUUAGUUUAUACCAUGUUGACUGUUGCAACUGUAGAGUUUUAUUUUUCAUAUGUUCGUUUCUUUAAUAAUAUUUUCAGUAGUGAACCCGAUACGUGUCUCUGGCCAGAGUGUAAAUUCCUAAAACGCUUGUUCCCUUGCACAGCCAAAAAAAGUGUUCCCAUAUCCCCUUUGCUUUAUGUGGAAGGCAACCUGUAAAACAGACUCCUAAACCUAGUAAUGAACAUUUUCCCCAAAUGUGUUGAACCUUCAGAUUUUCUACAUUUUCUAGUGUUUGACAAAGGUUUUUAUUAGUUAACCAUAAAUCACACUAAGGCUUCUUUAAAGCUUUUGUCAAAGUUGUACUUAUUUAUUUCACAUAAAACAAUAUUGUCAAAUAAAAGAGGCAAUCUAAAAGAUAUGAAACUGAACUUAGGGCUGAAUAGAACAGAAUGUUGUGUUGUUGUCUGGUUGGUCGGUCGGUAACCACGGAGCCACUUAUGACCUAAUGCACAAGAACUAUACUAUGGGAUCCUAUCAGACUGUCACUGUGUGGAUAAUUGGAGGCUCCAGGACACGGAGCAGAAGACUCUGUUUGAUUGGAGUUCAGAACAGGUGUGGCUGGCUGGGGAUUGGAUGGACGACCUGGUGACCUCAUCAGGUCAGGGAGUAGAGCCCCGGCCUGCCCCGCUGAUGAUUGGUUCAGUGCCUGCCAGCUGCACACUGCUCAGUAGCCCCGCCCCCUUUGGAACCCAUUGCCGCCUGCUGAUUGGAGAACAUCAGUGGGGAGGGGCGGGACAGGGGGCGGGGUCACAACGUUCUUUUGACUUUUUUUAUUGUAGUUAUUUUGUGGAUUGAUAGUCGGGAGGAAUCGUGUCCUUAGGUCGAAUACAAUGUGCCUUUGGUUAUUAAUGCCAUUCAUUUAGUAACCCAAGACCAGUAACAUAAUGACUUCAUUCCCCUACACCUCCCUACAGCACAUCUCCCCUGAACAUACAUCCAUUUCGCAGAUGUUUGAAAUGUUUACAGUCAUUUUCAUGGAUGUUUUCUUCAAGCCCAAAGACAGUCUUCCUGGCUUAACCUCUGAUGUGGUAGCGAGGAGAAAGCCAAGCGGCCGCACAAUGACAGGUAUUACAUGGGCUACAUCCACAAUGGCACCCUAUUCCCUAUAUAGUGCACUACUUUUGAUAGGGCUCUGGUCAAAAGUAGUGCACUAUAUAGGGAAUAGGGUGCCAUUUCGGGGAAACAGCCGUGCAGUUUCGAGACAGAGCGUCAGAUCUUUUGGGAUGACUAACUCUCACCUGGAAACACCCUUUGCCAACAGGGAACGCUUAGUAAGAAGCAAUCACCUUAUGCUCUGAAAGGGUUGAGGAACUGACAGCCUCUGUCUUGUCUUAACAUCAAAACAAUUCAAGGGGUUAUAGCUGUUAGCUUCAUUUUAUUACUCCCAGAGAGAAGGACAAAAAUACAUUUGAAUCUUUACCUCAGACUGUUGUGAUAGAUAUCUCUUCUUAUUGUGAUGUGAAUAACCCAGGGCAUUUGGUUACAUACCAAAGUGCAUUUCUUUCUACGUUUGUGGCUAUGAGGAAAUGAAGCCAGUGGAUUUUGACUCUUAUUUUUCUGAGUAAAAAAAUAAGGCACUCAAACCACUUUUGGUCAUUCAAGGGCCAUAUCUAUCUAUCUGUCUGGAGAAUGCUUGUCUUCAGCUGAGAAGGAAGUAGGGAGAUGGAGUACAGUGUUUAUUUUAUUACACCACUGUCUGAACGUCGUAGCACAACUCCAAACCUCUGUGUGCUCCACACGGUUGGAUGUAGCUUCUUUUCAGUGCAGUGUCAACUGUCCUAUCACAAUCUGCAGUCUAUAGUUGGUGUGUCAGUCAGCCCAAUGUGCUACUCCACGGUAAGGUAACAUAGCUGUGGCAGAAUCAAGCAUUUGACUAUAUUGUAAAUGUUUAGAAUUUAAAAAAAAUAAUUUUUAAAUACUUUUUUUUGCUACUUGUAAGAAUUUUAACUCUUGACUGUCUCGGGAGCUCUACUACACAACUUUUAGAAGACAGUCUCUAGAGUUCUACUACACAACUUUUAGAAGACAGUCUCUAGAGUUCUACUACACAACUUUUAGAAGACAGUCUCUAGAGUUCUACUACACAACUUUUAGAAGACAGUCUCUAGAGUUCUACUACACAACUUUUAGAAGACAGUCUCUAGAGUUCUACUACACAACUUUUAGAAGACAGUCUCUAGAGUUCUACUACACAACUUUUAGAAGACAGUCUCUAGAGUUCUACUACACAACUUUUAGAAGACUCUCGAGAGCUCUACUACACAACUUUUAGAAGACAGUCUCUAGUUCGACUACACAACU
ensembl:lncRNA